rnacentral:rRNA from 1 species
AACGAACGCUGGCGGCAGGCUUAACACAUGCAAGUCGAACGCGUGUAGCAAUACACGAGUGGCGCACGGGUGAGUAACGCGUGGAUAUCUGCCUUUUGGUUCGGAAUAACCCCGGGAAACUGGGGCUAAUACCGGAUGGUUCCUUCGGGAUAAAGAUUUAUCGCCAAAAGAUGAGUCCGCGUACGAUUAGCUAGUUGGUGAGGUAAUGGCUCACCAAGGCGACGAUCGUUAGCUGGUCNGAGAGGACGAUCAGCCACACUGGGACUGAGACACGGCCCAGACUCCUACGGGAGGCAGCAGUGGGGAAUAUUGGACAAUGGGGGCAACCCUGAUCCAGCCAUGCCGCGUGAGUGAUGAAGGCCUUCGGUU